rnacentral:rRNA from 1 species
GACAGAGGUGCCAAGCGUUAGGCGGAAUCACUGGGCUUAAAGCGUGUGUAGGUGGAUGUCUAAGUACCUUGUGAAAUCCCAUGGCUCAACCAUGGAACUGCUUGGUAUACUGGACGUCUUGAGCCACUUAGGGGCUACCGGAACAAAUGGUGGAGCGGUGAAAUGCGUAGAUAUCAUUUGGAACGCCAAUGGUGAAAACAGGUAGCUGGGAGUGUGCUGACACUGAGACACGAAAGCCAGGGGAGCGAACGGG